rnacentral:rRNA from 1 species
CCUACGGGAGGCUGCAGUGGGGAAUAUUGCACAAUGGGGGAAACCCUGAUGCAGCGACGCCGCGUGAGUGAAGAAGUAUUUCGGUACGUAAAGCUCUAUCAGCAGGGAAGAAAAUGACGGUACCUGACUAAGUAGCCCCGGCUAACUACGUGCCAGCAGCCACGGUAAUACGUAGGGGGCAAGCGUUAUCCGGAUUUACUGGGUGUAAAGGGAGCGUAGACGGCAGCGCAAGUCAGGAGUGAAAUCCCAUGGCUUAACCAUGGAACUGCUUUGGAUACUGGGCAGCUAGAGUGCAGGAGAGGGAAGCGGAAUUCCAAGUGUAGCGGUGAAAUGCGUAGAUAUUAGGAGGAACACCAGUGGCGAAGGCGGCUUACUGGACUGUAACUGACGUUGAGGCGCGAAAGCGUGGGGAGCAAACAGGAUUAGAUACCCGGGUAGUC